rnacentral:rRNA from 1 species
UACGGGGGGGGCAAGCGUUGUUCGGAAUUACUGGGCGUAAAGGGCUCGUAGGUGGCCAACUAAGUCGGACGUGAAAUCCCUCAGCUUAACUGGGGAACUGCGUCCGAUACUGGAUGGCUCGAGUUUGGGAGAGGGAUGCGGAAUUCCAGGUGUAGCGGUGAAAUGCGUAGAUAUCUGGAGGAACACCGGUGGCGAGGGCGGCAUCCUGGACCAACACUGACACUGAGGAGCGAAAGCCAGGGGAGCAAACGGG